rnacentral:lncRNA from 1 species
AGUUGGAGUCAUCAGUUUUCUUCUCAGUUUUCAUUCCCUAGAAUGACAACAAAUUAAACUGCUAUAACAAUCACGAUCGGAAUGACAAACUCUAGAUGUUAGCAUCGAAGACUUAUGAAAGGGGAAGGACGAGAUGCGUGGAGAGGCCAUGAAGAGAAAACUAAGGACGAAGGAGAAGAAGUACGAAUUGUGGAAGCAGAGUUAAGCGGUUGCGGUGGUAGAAUUUGGCGUGAUUGAACGGCGACACAAUGAAGUUUCGACAAACAACGAAGCAUCGCGACUUCACUGAUUUGUAGUCUUUGCACUCUGCACAAUCAAACCCAAACCUGUGAUUGUCAAAGUGCUUCUUUUUUACCUUCGAAUUUGGGGAUUCUUUUUUAAUUUCUAUUUUUUUGUUUAACUUUGAGGUGAAGAUAUGGGUUAAUUUGGGCUUAAUUGUUUCUUGAUCGAACUACAAAAAUUAGGGUUUUGUUUUGAUUUAAGAUUUCGAAUGAUUUUCGAAGGGAGAUAUUAAUCACAGUUCAUCUUUGCGAUCUGUGCACUGCAAAUCCUUGGGAUCCUUGUCUUCUUCAAUGCAUCGUCGCGGCACACCUCUGUCACCUUCGCCAAAUCCAAACCUGCAAACCACAAAAUCAGAAAGAGCUCAUCCUAAACCCCAAUCACGAUAAACCCUAGUUCGCGAAACGGUCACCAUCCACCUUGCUGUCAGUCGCGAGCCUACAUGACCACCAUGCCGCAACAAGAACCAUGCCGCCACCCAAACACCAUUGAAGCCUCCAUGGAAACCCUGCAAAUAAAAAAAAAACACAGAGCCACCAGAGAGCUAUCUUCGCACCUUCAAAUAGCAAAAUGAGACACGCUUUGCAUCCACCGUUAGCUGCCAUGAAUGAAGGGGCGAAACCAUGAAUCGAAAAACAUCUACCCCAAUAUGCAGAAUAAGCAAUGGCGCAACGGAUAUAAACUAGACGAGGUUUCUUUGCUUCGUGAUUU